AAAUGGAUCUCUAUUCGGUAAUGUUUGAUUAUUUCUACGCACAUUAUCAACACCUGUGCUUUACUAUAUAAUACACUCACAACAACCACAAAUUGUCUUUCGAGUCUACAUUUCAACAAAAUGUUGAGAAUCUACCUAUUGGUGUUAAUAUUAGCUUCGGUGAUGUUGCUGGGAGAUGCCGCCCCAUGUUUUGGAAGCGGUCCCAAGGUCCAUGACGUUGACGAUGAUCAACCAGUUAUGACCACGUCCAUUCGAAGUCCAGCAAAUUUAUAAUUCACUCAAAUCACUAAAAUGGCAGGCAAAUUCCACUCGAGUGUAUUUUUUAUUAUUGCGGAUGAUGCACACAUUAGCUUUUUGCUUGUGCGUGGGUGAACUAAUUGAGAUGAUCUAACAUCCAUGCCAUCGACAGGAUUCAAACCCACGAGCCAGGCGGUGCUAGCAGACCGAAAUUUAUAACGCUCCUUACAACUAAACCAAGAUGCCGACUGAGUUCGCACUUUCUUCUGCUACAAAAUACAGUUGAUUGGAAUUUGAGUGAUAUUUUAGAACAUUAAGAGAAUUUGAUUGUACCAUAUUUCACAAAAAAUGCGUAGUUUGUUCAAAAAUUAAAAUCACAAUUAAAAAACCAAGAUGCCGGCUGAGUUCGCACUUUCUUCUGCUACAAAAUACAGUUGAUUGGAAUUUGAGUGAUAUUUUAGAACAUUAAGAUAAUUUGAUUGUACCAUAUUUCACAAAAAAUGUGUAGUUUGUUCAAAAAUUAAAAUUACAAUUAAAAAACCAAGAUGCCGGCUGAGUUCGCACUUUCUUCUGCUACAAAAUACAGUUGAUUGGAAUUUGAGUGAUAUUUUAGAACAUUAAGAGAAUUGAUUGUACCAUAUUUCACAAAAAAUGCGUAGUUUGUUCAAAAAUUAAAAUCACAAUUAAAAAACCAAGAUGCCGGCUGAGUUCGCACUUUCUUCUGCUACAAAAUACAGUUGAUUGGAAUUUGAGUGAUAUUUUAGAACAUUAAGAUAAUUUGAUUGUACCAUAUUUCACAAAAAAUGUGUAGUUUGUUCAAAAAUUAAAAUUACAAUUAAAAAACCAAGAUGCCGGCUGAGUUCGCACUUUCUUCUGCUACAAAAUACAGUUGAUUGGAAUUUGAGUGAUAUUUUAGAACAUUAAGAGAAUUUGAUUGUACCAUAUUUCACAAAAAAUGCGUAGUUUGUUCAAAAAUUAAAAUCACAAUUAAAAAACCAAGAUGCCGGCUGAGUUCGCACUUUCUUCUGCUACAAAAUACAGUUGAUUGGAAUUUGAGUGAUAUUUUAGAACAUUAAGAUAAUUUGAUUGUACCAUAUUUCACAAAAAAUGUGUAGUUUGUUCAAAAAUUAAAAUUACAAUUAAAAAACCAAGAUGCCGGCUGAGUUCGCACUUUCUUCUGCUACAAAAUACAGUUGAUUGGAAUUUGAGUGAUAUUUUAGAACAUUAAGAGAAUUUGAUUGUACCAUAUUUCACAAAAAAUGCGUAGUUUGUUCAAAAAUUAAAAUCACAAUUAAAAAACCAAGAUGCCGGCUGAGUUCGCACUUUCUUCUACUACAAAAUACAGUUGAUUGGAAUUUGAGUGAUAUUUUAGAACUUUUGAGAGAAUUUAUACCAUUUCACAAAAAAUGUGUAGUUUGUUCAAAAAUUAAAAUGAUUUGAUUCAA